GACAAUAUAAAACAGAAAACGGAAAAAGAAACCAAACGCCACGGUGACCAGCAGGCACUUCCACCUGCCGAUAUCCAUCCCAGCCUGCUGCGCCAGCACGUCGGCGCGGUCACCACGCAGGUGUCCGCCGUCAAAGUGGUGCCGAGCGUACGCCUGAUUGGCGUCCAUCACCGACAUCUUCACGGCCUUCGACAACCCGACGAUCGGCGUGCCGUCGAACAUCUCGACGCCACGGGAGAAGCAGCACCGCCACCGGAGAGACCGACGGCGAAGAACGUGGUCGCCGCGAACGCCAGCGACAGGGACACCAGCGGCGGGAACGCGACGGCGGUGUUGGCGAUCACGAGAGGCGGCGGUAGGCGUUGUGGGCUGUCUCGAUCCCGGAUGUGGAUGUGGCGCUCCUGGACGAACACCGGCAGCGCGUCGGCGCAGACGUAG
rnacentral:lncRNA from 2 species